UCCGGUUGAUCCUGCCGGAGGCUAUUGCUAUCGGGAUCCGAUUCAGGCAUGCUAGUCGUACGAGUUCAUACUCGUGGCGUAUAGCUCAGUAACACGUGGUCAAACUACCCUCUGGACUGAGAUACCCUCGGGAAACUGAGGUCAAUCUCGGAUACUGCUUUCACGUUGGAACAACGGAAAGCUGGAAACGGUCCGCCGCCGGAGGACGUGACUGCGGCUGAUUAGGUAGACGGUGGGGUAACGGCCCACCGUGCCAAUAAUCAGUACGGGUUGUGAGAGCAAGAGCCCGGAGACGGAAUCUGAGACAAGAUUCCGGGCCCUACGGGGCGCAGCAGCCGCGAAACCUUUACACUGCACGACAGUGCGAUAAGGGGAUCCCGAGUGCGAGGGCAUACAGUCCUCGCUUUUCGUGACCGUAAGGUGGUCACAGAAUAAGGGCUGGGCAAGACCGGUGCCAGCCGCCGCGGUAAUACCGGCAGCCCGAGUGAUAGCCAAUUUUAUUGGGCCUAAAGCGUCCGUAGCUGGCCGAACAGGUCCGUCGGGAAAUCCACCCGCUUAACGGGUGGGCGUCCGGCGGAAACCAGUCGGCUUGGGGCCGGGAGACCAGAGGGGUACGUCCGGGGUAGGAGUGAAAUCCCGUAAUCCUGGACGGACCACCGGUUGCGAAAGCGCCUCUGGAGAACGGACCCGACAGUGAGGGACGAAAGCUAGGGUCUCGAACCGGAUUAGAUACCCGGGUAGUCCUAGCCGUAAACGAUGCUCGCUAGGUGUGACGCAGGCUACGAGCCUGCGUUGCGCCGUAGGGAAGCCGAGAAGCGAGCCGCCUGGGAAGUACGUCCGCAAGGAUGAAACUUAAAGGAAUUGGCGGGGGAGCACUACAACCGGAGGAGCCUGCGGUUUAAUUGGACUCAACGCCGGACAUCUCACCGGCACCGACAACGUGCAGUGACGGUCAGUUUGAUGAGCUUACCUGAGCCGUUGAGAGGAGGUGCAUGGCCGCCGUCAGCUCGUACCGUGAGGCGUCCUGUUAAGUCAGGCAACGAGCGAGAC
rnacentral:rRNA from 1 species